GGGCCCGUAGCAUAAUCUGGAUAGUGUAACCGGUUUCGGCCCGGUUGGUCGGGGUUCAAAUCCUCGCGGGCUCG
rnacentral:tRNA from 3 species